UCAGUUUUUACGAUGCCGUAAUACUUGUUAAUUGUAGAAAUUGACUGUGAACUGCACUUCUAUUUGCUAAUAAAUUGUUUUUGUUCAGUAAUGCUGUCUAGACGAAAAAGAUUGGGUGUAAUCAGUAUUGAAGAUUACGAGUGGCAGCCCUAAGCCUCCAGGCUGUUAGGGCUGUACGUGCCGAAGAAUAAUUACUCAGGUUAUACGCUGGGAACUCUGGUGAUCUCCGCAAGACAACUUUACCAUAUUUUACGUGAAGUUUGAAUGGUUUUUGAUUCGCCGUCGUUCAUUC